UCUCAUCCUCGUCAAUAAGUGAGGUAACCAAAGGGGAAGGAGAGAACUUGAUUGAAGUGAAGGAUGUGGAAGUUGAAGAUUGGGGAAGGAGGAAAGGACUUGAUUUCAGCCAACAACUUCAUAGGAAGACAACAUUGGGAGUUUGAUCCAAAUGCAGGAACACCACAAGAACGUGCUCAUCUUGAAACCCUUCGUCAACACUUCACAAAAAAUCGUUUUUCCAUCAAACAGAGCUCUGACCUAUUAAUGAAGAUGCAGCUAAGAAAGGAGAACAAAUGUGGAGCAAUACCAGAAGCAGUGAAAGUGGGAGAAGAAGAGAAGAUAACAGAAGAAGCAUUGCUUACAACAAUGAGAAGAGCUCUCACUUUCUCUUCAUCCAUUCAAUCACAUCAAGGUCACUGGCCUGCUGAGUUAGCUUGCCCUUUGUUUUUCAUUCAACCCUUGGUAAUGAUACUAUACAUUACGGGACACUUGGAUGCUGUUUUAGGAGCAGAACAUAAGAAGGAAAUUAUUCGCUAUUUGUAUAACCACCAGAACGAAGAUGGUGGCUGGGGAUUCCAUAUUUUGGGUCACAGUACAAUGUUCGGAUCAGGAUUGAGUUACAUUGCAUUGAGAAUACUUGGAGAAAAACUUGAAGAUCAGGAAGACAAGCCAUUGGCCAAAUCCAGAAAGUGGAUACUUGACCAUGGUGGAUUAGUGGCUAUUCCAUCGUGGGGCAAGUUUUGGGCUUCGGUGGUUGGAGUUUAUGAGUGGUCAGGUUCCAAUCCAUUUCCACCAGAGUUAUGGCUUCUACCCAAAUCUAGCCCUAUCCAUGGAGGUCACAUAUUGAACUGUUGUCGCUUGGUUUACUUGCCCCUAUCAUACGUAUAUGGCAAGAAAUUUGUGGCUCCCAUCACUGACUUAAUCAAAUCUUUAAGGGAAGAAAUGUACAUCCAACCUUAUGAUCAAAUCAACUGGAAUAAAGCCAGAAAUACUAUUGCUAAGGAGGAUCUCUACUAUCCACAUCCUCUCAUCCAAGAUAUGUUUUGGGGAUUUUUAUAUCACGUUGGAGAACGUUUUCUAAACAUUUGGCCUUUUUCCAAGCUUAGAGAAAAGGCAUUAAAAAUCACAAUGAAUCAUAUAAAAUAUGAGGAUGAGAUUAGUCACUACCUUUGCGUCGGAGUUGUUGAGAAGGUUUUGUCUUUGAUUGCACAUUGGGCUCAUGAGCCAAAUUCAGAGGCAUUCAAACUUCACUUAGCUCGAAUCCCUGAUUACUUUUGGAUUGCUGAAGAUGGCUUAAAAAUUGUGGCUCUGGGAAGUCAAUUGUGGGAUGCUGCACUUGCGGUACAAGCAAUAAUUGCUUGUAAUAUGAACGAAGAGUAUGGACAUGUACUUAAGAAAGCACAUGACUUUAUCAAAGCUUCACAGAUUCGUGAAAAUCCCAAAGGUGACUUCAAGGCAAUGCAUAGACAUAUAUCAAAAGGGGCGUGGGCAUUCUCAAUUCGUGAUAAUGGUUUACAAGUUUCUGAUUGCACUGGAGAAGCACUAAAGGCUGCACUUCUAUUGUCAAAAUUGCCAACGGAACUAGUUGGGGAGAAAAUGGAAGAACAAUGUUUCUAUGAUGCCGUGAAUGUGACUCUCUCUCUACAAAGUAGUAAUGGUGGAUACUGCGUGUGGGAGCCUCGGAUAGCCUUUCGAUGGUUAGAGAAAUUCAAUCCAACUGAAUUCUUUGAGAGCGUCGUCAUUGAAAUGGAGUACGUAGAGUGCACAGCAUCAGCAAUGCUGGGAUUGGUUAUAUUCAGAGAGCUUUACCCAAAUCACAGAAGGAAGGAAAUAGAUCAAUCAAUUUCCAAGUCAAUCCAUUUCAUUGAAAGCACACAGAAUCCUGAUGGCUCUUGGUAUGGUUGUUGGGGAGUUUGUUAUACAUAUGGCACAUGGUUUGCUGUGGAAGGACUAAAAGGCGUUGGAAAGAACUACCAUAACUGUCCUGCAUUGCGCAAAGCAUGUCAAUUUUUGUUGUCUAAACAACUUCCUAAUGGUGGUUGGGGUGAAAGUUACUUGUCAAGCCAAAACAAGGUGUAUACAAAUUUAGAAGGCAACCGUGCAAAUAUAGUUCAAACAUCGUGGGCUUUGUUGUCCCUUAUGGGCGCAGGGCAAGCUGAGAUUGAUCCAAUACCCAUACACCGUGGAAUGAAGUUACUAAUCAAUUUACAACUGGAAGAUGGAGACUUCCCUCAACCGGAUGCCACAGGAGUAUUUUUCAGGAACUGCUUCUUGAACUAUGCAUCGUAUCGAAUGAUAUUUUCUAUUUGGGCUUUGGGAGAAUAUCGCAGCAGAGUUUUGCAUACAUGAACCACUGCAUCCAUAAUAAUUUAAUUACCAAAGUUAUCGAAUUCUCGAAUUCACUCCUACACUUUUUUAAGUUGCUUUUAUCAUAAUAAUAUGGUUGUUUGUGUACAAUAUGUAAAAUGUGUUUCGUAUUUCGUAUGUAUUUGUUUGGCUUUGAUACAAGUUGUCUUUCCGCAAACAUAAUGCAUCUUGUUCUUUAAUAAUGUAAGCAGAAUUUAUAUAAAUAUUUUAUUUAAUUGGUCGUACUUUAAUUAGUCAUCCUACUUUUGUUUUUCCGAGUGAGAAUUAGUGCUGAAGAUGGUUUCUGGGAGAGAAUCGCCAGAGAGUUUUGUAAGCAUGAAGACCACAUCCAUCAAAGACUAAGAUUCAAGAAGCACGUCCACUAGUGCGCAACCACACUAGUGCGCCACUCACCACCGUCAAGAAGCACGUCCACGGUCCAUCGAAGAUUCAAGUCGCCGCCUCAUCGCCUACUGCCUCCUGCUCGUCAGUCGUCAGUCGUCACCUCCGGCCUCCCUCUUCUCUGCUCGAGUGCUCGUCCCUCCAUCUCUCCAAGGUCCAACCCAGUUGCAAAUUUGAUAAUGUGGAGACAGAAGAAUAUUAGUGUGGGAAUAUUAUUAGUCAGAGAAUAGGAUGAAGGAGAUUGGGAAUAUUAUUACUUAGUGUAGGAAUAUCGUUACUUAUGUGGGACCGGGUUAACCAGUUCAACUAGUGACCCACUGGUUAAAGCAAUGAUUCAGUGACCCAGUAAUUUGAUCG